rnacentral:misc_RNA from 1 species
UUCAAGAUACUGUUUUCUAAUCCUGCAUGUUAAGCAGAAAGUUUUGAGCGGCAGAAACAAGUAAAUGCACAGAAAAACAUAAAAAAAUGUAGUAAUGCGACAUGCUUAUUGCACGACUAUGACAUAAAAGUGCGUUUGAUCUUACUAUAGAUGGGACGCAUGCACUGCAUGUGGGAAAUUUUGAAUGUGACCAGUACUAAAGGUAAAUAUAGAUAUAGACAAAUCCCACACCAACCAAAGAGCAAUAAACAGUUGCAAGGCUGAUUAGCAGAAAUUUGCAGUAGGAGAAUAUUUUUGGGUAAUUGGUCAACUUACAACUGCUAUGUACACAUUUGUUCAAUAGUG